UACGAAGGGUGCAAGCGUUACUCGGAAUUACUGGGCGUAAAGCGUGCGUAGGUGGUUCGUUAAGUCUGAUGUGAAAGCCCUGGGCUCAACCUGGGAAUGGCAUUGGAAACUGGCGACCUAGAGUGCGGUAGAGGGCAGUGGAAUUCCGAGUGUAGAGGUGAAAUUCGUAGAUAUUCGGAAGAACACCAGUGGCGAAGGCGACUGACUGGACAUGUAUUGACGCUGAGGUGCGAAAGCGUGGGGAGCAAACAGG
rnacentral:rRNA from 1 species